rnacentral:tRNA from 1 species
GGGGAUGUAGCUCAGUGGUAGAGCGCUUGCUUCGCAUGUAAGAG